AUCCGAAGCUUCUCGCUCUCUCCUCCUCCUCCAACUCCGCGAUCCUCUGCAGGAUCUCUGCCGCCGCUGCGCCACCCAGGGGCGAUGGCAAUGGCCUCUUCCCAUCUCGCUGAACGUAGUCUCACUCCCGGCGGAGACGCCUCGGCGGCCAACGUGCUUGAACCCCAGCUCGCUGAGUCUGCUUCUUGUUUCACUUUCGUGAGAUGUAAUGUUGGGGCUUAGCUAUGAAAAAUGUGGUCGUUCGGAUUGGAUCGGGCAUUGCCUUGUUAUGCUCCUUGUUUAAGAACGAUGACUCUGAGGUACUGAAACUCUAGAAAGCAGAACGAUGCCUUUUGAACUUGCUAGAUGGAGUUCGGUCUUUUUGAGUUAGCUCACUUCUUUUGUUUUUGGGUGAAUUAUUAAAUGUUUAUGGAGUUGGGAUACUAGGUACUGCGCUUUUAUCAAAUUCCUGUUUUGUCGAAACAAAAAGAUUUGCAAUUGGUAAUAAUGAUUUCAACAUCCCAAAAUUUCAGUUUGGGGAUUUUUUGAUUUUAGUUCAAGGUGGGUGGUCCUAAGUUAUUGUGGUUAAAAUGCUUCAAUGAUAAAAUACCAGCUACCAAAAAUUUUGGUUUCUUGUAGUUAGAGGUGACAAUUCGGAUUGUGUUAAUGGUGUCAUAAAUUAGUCAUCUUACUCAGGCCAAUAAAAAAGUAAAUGAGAUAACUUAAAAUUAUUAUAGUUUUUGUUAAGAAUGAUUUUAAAAGGUGUAAGACCGACUCACUUCUCUAAAGAAUUAAGUUAUAUGACAUAAAUUAUGUUAUUUCUAAAAGUGAAUUAUUCUCAUAAAUAAGUUAGUAAUAUGUCUGGGAUGUCUCAUGUUACUUUUGGGUUUUAUCUCUCUUAACUGUUUUUCAUGUCAACUUGAGGUGUGUUAACUGGCUGUGUCUAAUAUCUUUGGCUAUAACUAUAGUUACAAACAUGAGAAAUUAAAUUUCAACUAUCAUUUUUACAUCUAAAUUCAUGCCUCAGAAUUGGAGUAGCAUAAAGUUUAAUGGAAAAUAGCUAAUUUAAAUUUGCAUCUACUGCAAUAUAUCAAAUUAAUUAACCCAAGCAAUCCAAAUAAGGAAUAUUUGAUAUGUAUAAUAUAACAUAUCGAAUUAAUCAAGAUUUUCCCUGGUUCCUUGAUAAAAAUAUUGUUUUUGUUGUAUUUAAUCUUAAAUAAUCAACUUAAGUCAUCCUUAUACUCUAAAGUACAAUAUGACAAUGCAUAUUAAUCAAGCUAAGUAGGUUAAAGGCUUUUGUUAUUUUGAUUGAAUUAUGUUUGAUUAGAGCGUUCAAAGUUGGACAUAAUCUUUUUUCUGCCGUGACUCCUUUGCAGCAUCCACAUGCAUUGACACUUUUUAGAAUAUUUGUCUCUGUUAAAGGUUUAGUUUUGUUUUUUGUUUUUUGAGAGUUGAUUCUAAAGAAAUUGUUUAGGGAUGCAUUUAGGUAAUAUGAGGAAGGAGAUACUAUGCUAGAAGUCAUUUCUAUUACUGUCUGUUGGAAUGCUGCCUUUCCCGUUGUGUAUGAAAAAUAAACAUUUAGUUCAUAAUAAGAUGUUUAAAACUUCUUGGUUGUGAAAGACAGACCAAGAAUAAAUGUUAUCCUAACAUGAAAAAACCGGUUCCCUCUUUGAUUAAAUGGUACAUGUAGGAAGUUUAUAAUAUACAUCAAAUUGUGUGUAUGUCUGCACGCGAGUGCCUGCAUGCACAUGAUUGCAGAUAGUUCAGACUGAAGGAAUAAGAAAAUAAAGGCCCUUUAUAUUCCUAAAAAACUAUAUUCUGCACAGGUACAAUACCAAAGCUAGAUUUAUUUGUAGUGUAGAGGAGUUGCUGAAUGAAAACUACAACUGUUUGCAAGGAACUGAUUUUGUUGCUAUCAUUAAUGGUUCCUCCAAUCAUCAUCCAUUCGUUCAAGCCUGAAUCGCUCUUGAACAUAGGCGAUAAAGUUUGCAGCUCGCCUGUCUACCUCACUGAUGGUGUUCACGUUGUUGGCAGCAACCUCAUAGGUGCCCAAGUUACUGAUCCCUUCCUUUUUGAUCAAGGAAGGUUUUGGCUUGGGCGAAGGCACAACAGCUUCAUCUUCCACAUGUAUGCUUACUACUGUGGUAGCCGGAGGAGUUGGAGCCGGCACAAUCUUGUUUGUGUAUUGCACUGAGGGCUUUGGUGCUCGAUAGAAGGCCACAGCCAUCUUACCUUUGGAUCCUCUACGCUUGCGAGAAGUCGAUGCAACUUAUCUCACUUUUAUGCACUAAAGUAGCUUUGGAUUCUUUUGGGGGCACUCUCUCUUCAGAAAGGCAAUCUUGUGCUUUAUCAGAUUCAUUUAUCCUGCUUCAUUAACUUUGAAUAUUCCUACCAAGACGUGCACUUUCAGUUUUUGAUCCAGUGGUUCUGUAGCAUCCAAGUCAGGGGGAUGUUACCUACCUUUUGAUGGGUGAAGAAUGAAGCUUUUAAUGAUGAUGAAGUCCUUCCACUUGCCUCCCCAAAUUCUUAGACGACAACAGGCUUGCAAUAUGUUGAUACUUUCUACUUGUUUCUGGGUUCUACCAUAUAUUUCCAGAGCAAAUUCUUCAAAAGGCAACCAGUCUCCACAUGUAAAGCUCUAAUGUUUAGACUUCGCAAUUUUGCUUCAGUGGAGGAAACCCCUAACAUAAGAGCCUUGGUGACAUGGGUUCGGUGCCCAUUUUUCGCUGCUAGAGUCGGGAAUGUUUGGCAAUAAGCACCUCUAACCACUUCAAAAUGGUGAGGCUAAAGAGAAAUCAGCCUGUAAUCUCUCUCUACUUACCAUUAUAAUUCUUCCUCUCUUUCAAAGUUUACAG